ensembl:lncRNA Tmem230 transmembrane protein 230
CCUCUAUCCGUCACGCCACUUCCGCCGGGCUGGCCUUCGUACAGCCAGUCGUUGGCUGUUGAGCGAGCCGUGCGAGCGCGCCUAACGGAGAACGGGGCGCGCAGCGCGGGUAGGGGGGCGGGAAGCGCUCCCGGAAGCCAGCGGCGAGACCUGGCCCUGCCACUGAGGCUGCUUCCCAGAGCCAGUUAUUUUACGUGGGUCCUGACCGUGGGCGACGAAGGCGGAGGCCGACGGGAGGUUGUCCACAGCGCCACGCGCAGGUGAGCUACAUGAUGUGGAAUGUAAAAUCACUUGUUUCAUGCUUGGGAUGGGAGCAGAGAGAGGCAGGUGGCUCUGGAAUGGCUGGUGUGGUAUUGAUAGCCAACUAGCUGUGUCACUGUGGUAUGAUGCCGUCUCGUACCAACCUGGCAACUGGAAUCCCCAGUAGUAAAGUGAAAUAUUCAAGGCUUUCCAGCACAGACGAUGGCUACAUUGACCUUCAGUUUAAAAAAAGCCCUCCUAAGAUCCCUUACAAGGCCAUAGCCCUCGCCACCGUGCUGUUCUUGAUUGGCACCUUUCUCAUAAUCAUAGGCUCUCUCCUGCUGUCGGGCUACAUCAGCAAAGGGGGGGCAGACCGAGCUGUUCCUGUCCUCAUCAUUGGCAUCUUGGUGUUCCUGCCAGGAUUUUACCAUUUGCGCAUCGCCUACUAUGCAUCCAAAGGCUACCGGGGUUACUCCUAUGAUGAUAUCCCAGACUUUGAUGACUAGCAUUCACCUCAGCCUUGAGAAGAGUCACAGCGCAGCCACUUUAAGACAUCAAGCAAGAACUAUAGCUACGGGCUGAGGAAGUCUACAAUGUGCAGAAGUUUAGCAAAACAAUGGCCAGAUUGUAUGAGUUCUUUUCCAAAAUGCUCAUGCUUUAUAAUUAGCUAAUUAGGACAUGGUAUGUUUUCAUCUCCUGGCAAAGCUUGACAAGUUUUUCCACAUGAGUAGGCACCAUGUCAGAGCUGUGAGGCUAAUUGUCUGGGGAGGCAGCCUAUCCUAUAGUGGAAAGUGUUACUCUCCUUAGAGGUGAACCUUUCUUUUGUCUUCCAUUGUCUGCUUGGUUUUGUAGCAUAUGGAAAAUGUAUUAUGUCUAGUUUCUUAUUACUAAGUAAUUUAUUUUUAAAAUUACCUAUCUUAUCUCUCACACUCUCCUCUACCAUUACAUCCUAUAAAAUUAAAGUAUCUGUCUUAUCCCUUAUACAUUCCUCUACCUUCAUACACCAGUAAAACCAAAUAUCUGUGGGUCCGCCUGUCAUAGGCUUUUAUUAAAUUGACAGCAACCUGGAAUAUUUAAACCAGGAAGCUGGGUAUGGUGGGACACGUCAUGAUCCCAGCACUUGGGAGGCAGAGCCAGGUGGAUCUCUAUGAGUUCAAGGCCAGCCUGGUCUAUAGAGUUUUAGGACAACCAGGGGUACCUGGUGAGAUCCUGUCUCAAAAAAGAGAAACUUCCUCUGGUUUCUCCAUAGCUUGCCCACCACAAAACUCAGGUGAUUCUGUCCUUCAUAGGUCAAGAGAUUGGGUGACUCAUACCUUAAGGACUAGACUUUGGCUGUUUCUUCGUAAAACUGUAGAUAAGUGUACUUAAAGAGUUUAUAACCCUACUGCUGGCACCUGGUACUAUGAUAUCAUUCUGCUAAAGAUUGCAAGACUUGGCCAAGAUCCCUGAAAAUGUAUUAAGUCAAAUCUGGUUUUCAGCUUGUAAAAAGUGACAAUUUUUUUCUAACUGCGUGUGUGUUUAUUUAUUACUAAUUUAUUUUAUUUUAUGUGCAUUGGUGUUUGCCUACAUGUAUGCUUGUGUGGGUUUGUCAGAUCCUGUAGUUACAGACAGUCGAGAGUUGCUGUGUAGGUGCUGGGAAUUGAACCCAGGCCCUCUGGAAAAACACACAGUGCUCUUAACCACUGAGCCAUCCGUCUCUUUAGCGCAACAUGUUUUUGGUUUUGGUUUUUAAUUAAAGUGUCAUUAAUUCAAAUUUCAGAUUUAAAACUAUUUAACUUUAGGCCUGUUUUUGAAAACCAUUCUAAUGAGUCCCAGUACAUGGGGUCACCUCUGUUUUGGGGUAACUGGCCUUAUGAGUCAGACUCUGCAUUUGUUUUUUUCUCCUCCAAGGUUACAGACUUGGGCAACCAGAGUUCUAGACGUGUCCUCAGCUUGGAAGGCUGUGAAAAGGGAAGUUUUGGGAGAAAGGUAAUUUUUUGGAUGUGUUGCAACUUGAUGUCCACUCAACACCCGAGGAGUGCUGUGGAGAGGAGAGAGGAGGCAGUUGAAGUGCUUGCUCUCUGUCUGGAAAUUGGAUUGGGUCUCAUAAAGGUAGACAUGCUAGAGUCCAUGUUUGGGUAGUAACUUCAGAGCCAUAGGGCUGGGCGAGCUCGCCUGUGGAGUUAGUAAACACAGAGGGAAGCAGCUUAGAAAGAAGGCAGUGGGGUUGGGGAUUUAGCUCAGUGGGAGAGUGCUUGCCUAGCAAGGGCAAGGCCCUGGGUUUGGUCUUCAGCUCCCAUGGCUGGGGGUUGUGGGGGAGGUGAGACAAAAUAACAGAAAGUAAGGCAACAAACCCCAGCAGCUGCCAGGUUUGGUUGUAUUUAAAAAUUGGGGGUGCAGGAGGGGUGGGGUGGCUGGAGAGAUGGCCCAGUGGUUAAGAACACUGCUCUUCCAGAGGUCUGAAUUCAAUUUCCAGCAAUCACAUGGUGGCUCACAACCAUCUAUAAUGGAAUCUGAUGCCCUCUCCUAGUGUGUCUGAAGACAGCUACAGAGUACUCAUAUAAAUAAAAAUUAAUUUAAAAACGGGGGAGGGCUGGAGAGAUGGCUCAGUGGUUAAGAGCACUGACUGUCCUGAGUUCAAUUCCCAGCAACCACAUGGUGGCUCAUAACCAUCUGUAAUGAGAUCUGGUGCCCUCUUCUAGCCUGUAGGCAUACAUGCAGACAGAAUGGUGUAUAAAUAAUAAAUCUUUAAAAUAGAUUAGAGGGGAACCCAAAGGGUCUUUGGUGCUGAGCAGUUCUAGAACCUGCUGAUGAGGGUUUGCAGUGGCAUUGGAUACACAGCUUCCUGUCAGGCAUUGCUUGCAAAGCUAGAACUAGAUUGGUUCAGCCAAAGCAAAGAGCUGGGUGGUAUUUAUAUUCUAGAAGGAGUGCUGCUGCAAAGGAAAGGAAAUGCUAAUAUCACAGAAGGGCACAGGAUGCAAAGGCAACCUCUGUCCCAGUUCACGUCAUGCCGUUCAGGGUUUUACUUUACAGACAGCUGUGGAUGUAGAAACACAUGCUUUAUAAAAAGGCCUAAAUCUCCAUAGUGAUGAACUUUUCUUUCAUAUUAAAAAAAAGAAUGCAUAAAUGUAUGUGGCACAUGUGUAUGGGAACCAGACUCAAAUGUUCCAAAGAACUGUACAUGCUCUUAUCCUCAGAGCCCUCUCUCCAGCCCCUGCUAGUCAUUUCUUUUUCUGAGACCUUGUGUACAAUAUUCUGAUGAAUUCUGUAUGAUUUUAAUCUCUGCAAAAGUCCUGUGUUAGGAAACAAAAAUUCCCAUGCUUAAAUUAAUGUCUUAGGGUUGAGCAAGUAAAGAAAUAACAGGGAUACGUACAGUAGAAGCAGAGAUCAAGCCACUAUCAAAUGAGUAUUUGCCUAAAAGCAGCCAGUUCUCUUAGGCUGUUGGCUAAACUAGUUGACACAGUAAUUACGACACCUAUUACACUUUCCAGGAAAUCCAAAGCAGAAACAACCACAGUGACUUGUGGUGGUGUUCGUGUGAUGAAGAGUCCAGACCCAUUCGUUGGCAUUGUGGUGGAAAGUACCACAUGUGGCCAGCAUAUCACACGAGUUGACCACUUCGUUCUUUCAGCAGGUACAAGGAAAGAUGGCAUGGUCACCGAGGAGUAGAGGUUGCAAACUAAUGGUCACUUGACUUGCUUAAAAACAAAAAAGAGUUACGUAGUGUUGGUGUUUGAUUUUUCUUUAAAAAGAGAUUGUCAGACCUCUUGGAGCAGGUUGUAAAGGUAGCUUUAACUGAGAAGAGAUUCCCAAUUCACUGUAAUCCCAGGCCGACUCACCAUUUGAUAUUUCUUUACCCAGCCUACAAAUAUCCCUCCAACAACCGUUCAUCAAAGGAAGAGUAUGACAUUUUCCCUUCAGUAUGGACAGGUGGGCAGGUCCGCUGAGUUGAGGCUUCCCUGUGUGUCCUUCCACCCAUUGCCAUGACAGUCAACUACCCUUCAAACCGUUGGUACUCUGAUGAGUCCGGUCUCUGCUGGAACCAUGUGCUUCAUCCCCUGGGUCCACACCUGUGCUUGGCAGCGAACUCACAGGAGCUGCUGCUUGUACUACAAAGGAACCUGGAGCCAGAACACCACAGCGUGGCUUCUGGCCUUUGAAGUGUCACUUGCCAAUCAUCAUUACCCUUUAGCUUUCUGACCUGUCAUCUUAAUCUUAUCCUGAGGCUUCUCGUUCCAAAGGUGUGUGGUUUAUGGUUUAAUGCACUGGGAGGGAAGGGCAGACUCUUAGUUAUAGGGGAUUAGACAAAUGACCUGAGCUUUGCCUGCUUUAGAAAGUGGGGUAAAUUAACUCCUGCAUUAGGGGGAAAUGGCAGGGUUCAUUGGACCAGGUUAGGGUUGGGGUGGCAGGCUAUUGCUCAUGCCUAGAACCUGCUGCUGGGAGAAGGGAAGGUCAGUCCUUUAAGGGCAGGGCCUGGAGUAAGGCCAAGGAUGCUAGAGAGCUCACCUGCCAUCCCUGACCUCCUGAGGAACUUGUUCUAUGACAAGGCCACCCCAGAGGUAGGGCUUCUUCCUAGAUGGAACGGAAGCGUAUGAGGUAGUCCUUUUCCUGUAUGUGGCUGGGCCAGGCCUUCAACUAAACUAAGGCAGACUUGCAGAGACGACCGUGAAGAUGAGGUGUGCCUCAGCAGCGUCUGACCUCUCCUGAAACUCGUCCCUUAUGUCUCCACCCCUCUCUCUGCUUUACCCUAUCUUGCCCCUUGCUACUUGGAAGCUGUCUUCAUUUCUUUUUCUGUGGCUGUACAGAGAUACUGAGACCAAGGCAACUUAUAAAGAGUUUAUUGGGGGGUUGGGGCUUGCUUAGUUUCCCAGGAUUAGAGUUUAUGACCAUCAUGGCAGCAGGCUGGCAUGAUGACAGGGCACUACUCGAGCAGUAACUGAGAGCUUACAUCUGAGCCACAAGUUCAAAGCAGAGAAAAAGAGCUAACUGGGAAUGCUGUGACCUAGUGAUAGACCUCCUGACCAACUGUAGGCUAGUCUCAAAUACAUGAGCCUAUGGGGGCCAUUCUCAUUCAACCCACCACCGAAGCUGUGCUCUGGAUCAACAGCAUGGCAAGCUCCACUCGGGAGCUUGUGAGAAAAGAAGUAAUGCCACAGGAGACUGGGACUUCAUUAUCCCUAAGCACUCUGCACCUCCUAUUUCAUUUCCUCUCCUUGGGGCUAGACCCCCUUCCAGCAAUGCUAGUGGUGGGAGAGGAGAAUUCAGGAGAUGUAGCCCUUGAGAGCUACCAUUACUCUAAAACUAAUGCUGGGGUGGAGGUGAGGAAAUCUCAUAGGCAGAUCAGGGAAACAACAAAGGAAGACUCUGGGAACGCUUUUGUGAGCCAGGAGAAACCAACAGAGUCCCAGGGUAGGAAUAGAACAGAGUAUGCAAUUUCAUCCAAGAGAGGCAGGAACAUGAGCUUGGCAGGAGUUAGUCCUGAUUAUUGGAGGCUGUGACUAUCCUCAUCUGACAACCCCAUUCUUCUAUCCCUUACGGUAACUUGAGAAAGAGCUGUCCAGAAAAUGUUCUAGUCUGAAGUUAUCCUUUGAGAAGGUUUUCUUUGAAAUUUAUAGAACCUGCAGCUUGCUGGUGUCUCUUAAAGCUGAAAGUGGGAGCUGCAGAAUCCCUAGUAGCCUAGCAGGGUUCAUGGCCCGGCUCAGUUGAGGCUGGCACUCCAUACAGUAAGCAGGUGUUGGGUGUGGCCACGAGCAGCCAGAGGACAAGCCGGGCCACCUGCUCUUGUGUCUGUGGCUUUUAUUUCUGCAGUGCUGAUUGGACCCAGAGUCUCACAUCUAUUGGACAAUUGCUCUACCACUGGUCCUGAUCCUGAGUGUUGGUUUUGUAUCCUGAAAUUUGAUUUAGUUGGAGUCUAGUAGUUCGGGGGAGUAGCUUUUGUAUUGACUUGUGUUUUCAGGUCAUGACAUCUGCAAAUAGACUGCUUUGGCUCUAUUGUGAUGGGCACCUCUCUCCAUUUCCUUUUCUUGCCUCACUGUUCUAAGACUCAGUACUACGCAGUGUGGAAGUGGGGAAAUAGGCAAGCUUGUUCUUAAGCACAGAGGAGAGCCUUCCAACUUUUCCUCAUUGAGUGAGCUAUUAACCGUUGUGUCAUGUGUGAAUGAAGGUUCGCAGAAGGAAGCUGACCUUCUGCUGAACCUUCUGCAAGGCUCAUUAACUAAUUAGAACUUCAGCAAUUGUAGACGAGUUUGGAAUGCUGCAGGUUCAGAGCCUAAUUACAAUUUCUCUAAAUAAGCAUUCCUUGCCCACUUCUGUGUCUGACCUAACAUCCUGUGGCUAACAGAUAAAACCCUUUGGAACCUAUUAACAAACUCUAGUUUCCACUAACCAAAAAAGCUAAGGAUGUCAUCAGAGAACAUCUGAAAUCUAUUGCAAGACUUCCCUGCUUCUCCAUACCCCAACUUCCUACUGUUUCCACCAAUAUGUUUGAAUAGUGCCUUGACUGAUGACCCUGUUCUGUUGCUAUAAAAACUUCCAAGGCAGGUAUACGCCUUUAAUCCCAGCACUCAGGAGGCAGAGGAGGGUGGAUCCCUGUGGGAUUGAGGCCAGCCUGGUCUACAUAGACCUGGACAGCCAGAGCUGCAUAGAGAAAUCCUGUGGCAGACAGGGUAAGGGUAAAAAGAUGAGGAGGGAGAUAGGACCCCCUAAAACUGCCUCCACGUUGGAACAUGGAAUUUGGGAUUAUUUAAGCCUGUAUUCCUGGACCAUCGUCACUUAUUUUUUGGCUCAAGAAUAAAUUCUCUUGAGUCUGGGGAGAUGGCUCAGCAGUGAAGAGGAUUGGCUGCUGCUCAUCUAGAAGACCAGGUUUGAUAGGUGACUCACCACUGUCUAGUUCCAGUUUCAAGAAAUGUGACACCUUCUAGCCUCUGCACACCAGAUACAGAUACAGUGCACAGACAUGUGGGCAAUAUACCUAGACACAUAAAAAUAAAUAAAAACUUUAGAAAGAAAAAACUAUCUCAUAUACCCUUUAAUAUAAAAGAAUGCUGGGUUUUUUUAAUAUUUUUUUCUUUUUCGGUUUUUCUUUUUUUUCCUUCUUUUUUUUUUAAUGUGCAUUGGUAUUUUGCCUACAUGUAUGUCUGUGUGAUGAUGUCAUAUCCCCUGGAACUGGAGUUACGACAAUUGUGAGCUGCCAUGUGCAUGCUGGGAAUUGAACCCAGAUCCUCUGUCACUUAACUGCUGGACCAUCUCUCCAACACCUCAAGGAUACUGAGUUUUUUGGUUUUGUUGAGUACACUGUUGCUGUCUUCAGGCACUCUAGAAGAGGGCAUCAGAUCUCAUUCAGAUGGUUGUGAGCCACCUUGUGGUUGCUGGGAUUUGAACUCAGGAUCUUCUGGAAGAGCAGUCAGUGCUCUUAACCACUGAGCCAUCUCUCCAGCCCCUGGGACGCUGGAUUUAAUUAGCUUUUCUACAAUCCAUUAGUGAUGGAUACUUUUUGUUCUUUAUUUUAUUGGUGUGGUGUAGUGUUGAUUGUUCUGUGCUGAACUGGGAACAUCAGAAAAUGGUAAGAACUUUUCCCCCUUUAGCGGGGAAUUCACAUUCACACAAAGAGCCAUGGAAUGGUGCUGGUCUGAGGCCGGGACUCCUGUUUGGUCUGAACAUUGAUCCCUGAGCCCUCCCGCUGCACUGUGCUGAUGUUUCGCUAUUGCUCUUCAGGCAAGGGGCAAGAAAGUCUUCUCUCUCCCACAGUCUUAUCAGAUUGGCAGUAAAGAAGUUAACCUCGCUCACUGUGCGGAGAUUGUGAUUUGGCAAUCUGGAAAACCAAAGGAGGCAGAUACGGAGUCUAUAAAGGCAUAUCAAGUAUUGACAGACUGGACCUGCAUUUGCCUACCCACCCCCAGAUCACAAACCAGGACCCAGAGAAUACUUUCAGAGCAAAAUAUCUCUUUGUUAAAACAAUUCGACUUAAAUAUUAACCAACAAAGCAGAGCAGGAACUUUGAAGUCCACUCUAUCAUUCAAUUCAAUCCUUUACAUAUUUUAACUAUAAUCGGUCAUAGUAUUAAUCUAACCUUGGCUUUUAUCUCCAGACUUUGAUUUAAAACUACAUAUGAAUUCACCUUGAAUCCUAUAACUUUCCAAGAAUGAAUGUAUAUUGUUUAUGUGAGUAUUAUAUAAAGUAUAAGUAUAUUUAUAAUUCGUGUACCUACUAUAGACACAGCACUUUAAUCGGGCAUCAGAAAGAGGUCUCAUUUACCCUGGUAUGGUAGUUCACACCUGUCGUCCUGACACUUGGGAGGCUGAGGCAGGAGGACCCGGAGAUUAAGGCCAAUCACAUCUACAUAACAAUUUCAAGGCCAUCCUGGACUACAUGAAACCCUGUCUCAAAUGACAACAAAAGGAACUGCGUUUGAAGACAUAUUUUAAAAGAAUACCCUUGAUUUUUGAGCUCCCUAUCUCCUGGAAGGUGAAAAGCUAGACCUGGCAGUCUCCUGUGAGGAUAGAGGAUGUGGUUGUCUGUUGUCCAAGAAAGAUAUAGCUGUGUUAUGGAAUAUCUCUGGAUGGCUCUGGUCAUCUGGAGUCAACUGACUCUCCUGGUACUUGGAUAAUUUUCCAAUUUUUUGCAUAACUAAUUUACAUAUGAAAUUGUAUUGGAAAAAUACUCAAGGUCUCUUAUUAUUUCUCUUUUUUUGACAAAAAAAUAAAAACUCCUUUCUUUGUGAAAUACAACACACAGAGAAAGGUAUACAAAAUGUCACGUGCAUAGUCUAAACAGUCAUCAAGUCUGAAACUCAAGGAUACACUGCUCAGAUGAAAAAUAUCCUGUGGGGAAUGGGGCAGAUAGCAACACCAGCAGUAUGGUAGCAAGUGACAUCACAAGGGAGCCCUGAGCACUACCUGCCUUCAUGGUGCCUGGGAGGUUCUCACAGGAGAGGCCUAGUUGUGGACAAGUCCUAGCUUCUGCCCUGACAGGGAACCACCCCCUCUCCUCUGGUUCACGUCUAAACCUAUCACAUAAGACCAGUGACAGCACAGCUUUUCUUCUUAGCGCUGUGAGUUAGGAUAGAAGCCCCCAUCUCAGCUCUUGACUUUAGGUGGAAGCAGGGGCUUUGAGGGGGGCACUCAGGAGACCCCAGAGCACUAAAGGAAGUAGAGAAUUAGUGGAGAGUUGCCACCCAAAACAUUAAGUUCAGACAAAGAAGAUACCAUUUGUGGAAGAUUAGGGAGGGCAUCGGCAGGGGCGAUCUGGAAUUCAGGAAUACUGCUGUCAGAUAAAAACCCAAAGAUUCAGGGAGAGACAUUUCAAAAACAACACAUCAAAGUUUAGACAUUGAAAUGAAUUUGUUUGGCAAUGCUAGAGGUUAAACCCAGGGCUUUAUACAAUAGUAUAAAAUAUUAAAAUUGACUGAAGGAACUGGAGAGUUGGCUCAGUAUUUAAGAACACUUGCUCUGGCAGAGGACCCAGGCUCUGUUGCCAGCAUCCACACGUUAGCUCACAACAAUCCUUUACCCUAGUUGCAAGGGAUCAGAUGUCCUUUCCUGACCAAUGUGGGCACCAGGCACACACAUGGUGCACAAACAUGCAUCCAAGCACAGCACUCAAGAGCAUUUAAAAGUUGACUCAGGAAGAAAUGGAAGUCUGAAAAGAUCCACUAUUGAGGAAAAUAAAUUCUAGUGGACUGAAAAAGGUGAUAAAAAAUUUUUUUCCCAAGGAUCCAGAGAAAUGCCUCAUCACUUAAGACCACUACUUGCUUUUCCAGAGGACCGAGGUUCAAUUCCCAGCAACCACAUGGAGGAGGCUCCACAACCAUCUGAAAAUUCCAGUGUCAGGAAACCCAAUGUCUUUUCUGACGUUCAUGAGCUCUGCUUACAUGUAGUAUACAAGCAUGCAACCCAGCAAAGCGGCCAUGCACAUAAAAAUAGUGAAAUCUUCACAAAAAAUAUAUUGGGCUGGUGAGAUGGCUCAGUGGUUAAGAGCACUGACUGCUCUUCCA